UGGGGAAUAUUGGAUAAUGGGCGAAAGCCUGAUCCAGCCAUGCCGCGUGUGUGAAGAAGGUCUUCGGAUUGUAAAGCACUUUAAGUUGGGAGGAAGGGCAGUAAGCGAAUACCUUGCUGUUUUGACGUUACCGAUAGAAUAAGCACCGGCUAACUCUGUGCCAGCAGUCGCGGUAAUACAGAGGGUGCAAGUGUUAAUCGGAAUUGCUGGGCGUAAAGCGCGCGUAGGUGGUUCGUUAAGUUGAAUGUGAAAGCCCCGGGCUCAACCUGGUAACUGCUUCCAAAACUGGCGGGCUGGAGUAGUGCAGAGGGUGGUGGAAUUUCCUUUGUAGCGAUGAAAUGCGUAGAUAUAGGAAGGAACACCAGUGACGAAGGCGACCACCUGGACUCAUACUGACACUGAGGUGCGAAAGCGUGAGGAGCAAACAGG
rnacentral:rRNA from 1 species